AGCCAGACUCCUACGGGAGGCAGCAGUGGGGGAUAUUGCACAAUGGGGGAAACCCUGAUGCAGCGACGCCGCGUGAGUGAAGAAGUACUUCAUUACGUAAAGCCCUAUCAGCAGGGAAGAAAAUGACGGUACCUGACUAAGAAGCCCCGGCUAACUACGUGCCAGCAGCCGCGGUAAUACGUAGGGGGCAAGCGUUAUCCGGAAUUACUGGGUGUAAAGGGAGCGCAGACGGCAGUGCAAGUCUGGGGUGAAAGCCCGGGGCUUAACCGCGGGACUGCUCUGGAAACUGUGCAGCUAGAGUGCAGGAGAGGCAGGCGGAAUUCCUAGUGUAGCGGUGAAAUGCGUAGAUAUUAGGAGGAACACCGGUGGCGAAGGCGGCCUGCUGGACUGUAACUGACGUUGAGGCUCGAAAGCGUGGGGAGCAAACAGGAUUAGAUACCCUCGUAC
rnacentral:rRNA from 1 species